AUUGAACGCUGGCGGCAGGCUUAACACAUGCAAGUCGAGCGGGGUGAUGGUGCUUGCACUAUCACUUAGCGGCGGACGGGUGAGUAAUGCUUAGGAAUCUGCCUAUUAGUGGGGGACAACAUCUCGAAAGGGAUGCUAAUACCGCAUACGUCCUACGGGAGAAAGCAGGGGAUCACUUGUGACCUUGCGCUAAUAGAUGAGCCUAAGUCGGAUUAGCUAGUUGGUGGGGUAAAGGCCUACCAAGGCGACGAUCUGUAGCGGGUCUGAGAGGAUGAUCCGCAACACUGGGACUGAGACACGGCCCAGACUCCUACGGGCGGCAGCAGUGGGGAAUAGUGGACAAUGGGGGGGACCCUGAUCCAGCCAUGCCGCGUGUGUGAAGAAGGCCUUAUGGUUGUAAAGCACUUUAAGCGAGGAGGAGGCUCUUUUGGUUAAUACCCAAGAUGAGUGGACGUUACUCGCAGAAUAAGCACCGGCUAACUCUGUGCCAGCCGCCGCCGUAA
rnacentral:rRNA from 1 species